rnacentral:rRNA from 1 species
UACGUAGGGGGCAAGCGUUGUCCGGAUUUAUUGGGCGUAAAGAGCGUGUAGGCGGCCAUACAGGUCAGCUGUGAAAACUCGAGGCUCAACCUCGAGACGUCGGUUGAAACCGUAUGGCUAGAGUCCGGAAGAGGAGAGUGGAAUUCCCGGUGUAGCGGUGAAAUGCGCAGAUAUCGGGAAGAACACCUAUGGCGAAGGCAGCUCUCUGGGACGGUACUGGACGCUGAAGGCGCGAAAGCGUGGGGAGCGAACAGG